GACGAACGCUGGCGGCGUGCUUAACACAUGCAAGUCGAGCGGUAAGGCCCUUCGGGUACGACGAGCGGCGAACGGGUGAGUAACACGUGGGUGACCUGCCUCUAGCUCUGGGAUAAGCCUGGGAAACGUGGGUCGUAAUACCGGAUAUGACUCCACGGCGCAUGUUGUGGGGUGGAAAGCCUUGUGUGGCUAGAGAUGGGCCCGCGGCCUAUCAGCUUGUUGGUGGGGUGAUGGCCUACCAAGGCGACGACGGGUAGCCGGCCUGAGAGGGC
rnacentral:rRNA from 1 species